CCUACGGGAUGCAGCAGUGGGGGAUAUUGCACAAUGGGGGGAACCCUGAUGGAGCAACGCCGCGUGAGUGAAGAAGGGUUUCGGCUCGUAAAGCUCUGUUGGUAGGGAAGAAAGAUAGAGGUAGUAACUGGCCUUUAUUUGACGGUAAUUACUUAGAAAGUCCCGGCUAACUACGUGCCAGCAGCCGCGGUAAUACGUAGGUGGCAAGCGUUGUCCGGAUUUAUUGGGCGUAAAGCGAGUGCAGGCGGUUCAAUAAGUCUGAUGUGAAAGCCUUGGGCUCAACCGGAGAAUUGCAUCAGAAACUGUUGAACUUGAGUGCAGGAGAGGAGAGUGGAACUCCAUGUGUAGCGGUGGAAUGCGUAGAUAUAUGGAAGAACACCAGUGGCGAAGGCGGCUCUCUGGUCUGCAACUGACGCUGAGGCUCGAAAGCAUGGGUAGCGAACAGGAUUAGAUACCCUGGUAGUC
rnacentral:rRNA from 1 species